rnacentral:rRNA from 1 species
UGGGGAGUGUUGGGUAAGUCCCCCAAGAGCCCAACCCUUUUCUUACUUGCAACAAUUUCGGAUGGGAACUUUAAGGAUACUCCAGUGACAAAACUGAGGAAGGCGGGGGCGACGUCAAGUCAUCAUGGCCCUACGGCCAGGGCUACACACGUGCUACAAUGGUCGGUACAAAGGGUUGCUACACAGCGAUGUGAUGCUAAUGAAAAAAAGCCGAUCGUAGUCCGGAUUGGAGUCUGCAACUCGACUCCAUGAAGUCGGAAUCGCUAGUAAUCGCGGAUCAGAAUGCCGCGGUGAAUACGUUCCCGGGCCUUGUACACACCCCCCGUCACACCAUGGGAGUUUGUUGCACCAGAAGUAGCUAGCCUAACUGCAAAGAGGGCGGUACCAUCGGUUGACCAAG